ensembl:lncRNA
CACACACAGACACACACAGACACACACGCGAGAGCGGAAGAAAAUGGGGAAGGGGGAAGGUCAUUGCCUCCUGACAAGCAAGGGGGAAAAACAAUGCGGCAAGAAGGAAAGACACCGAGCUGCAGGGAGGCAGCAGAGAAGGAUUACAGAGCGCGGGUUCGGGGCAGAGAGGACCUGCUCGGAGAGGGCAGCGUCAGUUCCCUAAGGGAAGGCGCUUCUCAGCCCGGAAUUCUGCGGGGAGUUCUCGGUCCCCAUGUUGCCGACUGCAGACUUGAGACUUGCUCACCUCCACGAUCACCCAAGUCAACUCCUGAGAAAUCAGUGUGCGAGAGACCGAGGCACACGGACAUACCGAUCUGUGUCCCGUUGGUUCUGUUCCUCCCGAGAGCCCUGACCAAUGCAGGGCCCCCUCCACCCCACACCCUUCCACCCCCCUGCCCCCGGGUCAUUCUUUGGAAUUUGCUGCUGUUUCAGCCGAUUCUAGUUUCCACGGGGCUUUGCUGGUGGUCAAUACUGACAACUUUCUGGGGCUUUUCUUUAUUUAUGGAGCAGGAGGAUGAACUGGGGCAGACCCUCACUCCCUGAGGGUUUCCCCAAGCCAUUUUUUUCUCCCCAACACCCCUAAAAGCUCUACUUUGCAUAACAAAGGGAAUUCUAGGGUGGGAGAAUUCACCCUAGUCUGUGAUGAAAGCCUCCAGGAAAAUAAAUUGGCUGCUGGGGGCCCUUAUGGUUGAUUCCUUUUCUCCCAUUUUCUUCCUUGAGUCCUCAUAUGCCCCUCGCCAUGGGUUUUAAUAGGGUCUAAGAUCAGUUUUUGAAACGGAAUUAUUACAAACACAAGUGCAAAGAAGAACAUUUUUAAAGCUGAUGCUUGGAACAUUUUGUGUUUAGAAAUCAAGUUUGUUCAGAGUCUUAGGAACUUCACUGAGAAAUAAAUAUAAUCACAAUAGGAACAGAGGAAGGAUGGAGGAAACUGAGGGAAGACAGGUUAAGCGGGAAAAUUAUUAUUAUUUUUAAGUUUACUUAUUUAUUUUGGGAGAGAGUGCACGCGCAGGAGCACAAGUGGGGAGGGCCAGAGAAAGAGGGAGAGAGAGAAUCCCAAGCAGGCUCCUCACUGUCAAGAGCAGAGCCUGACACAGGGCUCUAUCUCACAAACGUGAGAUCAUGACUUGAGCUGAAAUCAAGAGUCCGAGGCUUAACCAACUGGAGACACUCAGGCGCCCGAUUUUUCUUUUUAAGGAGUGGUUAAGUGCUAUCUUCUGUUUUUAGGACAACAACUUCCUUAUUUUUAUGAAAGCAAUACAGCUCAUCAAUAGAUGGAAAUAAAAGAAGAAAGAGGAUUAUACUGCACGUGCUAUUUUUAAUUUAAAAGGUAUUUAGGGGCACUUGGAUGGCUCAGUUGGUUAAGUGUCCGACUUGGGCUUAGAUGGUGAGCUUCAUCCAUGUCACUCUCUAUACUGACCGCUCGGGCCCUGGAGCCUGCUUUGGAUUCUGUAUCUCCCUCUUUCUCUACCCCUUGCCCACUCACACUCUGUCUCUGUCUCUCUGUCUCUCAAAAAUAAAC